UAGCCGUAAACGAUACUCGCUAGGUGUCGGCCACGGUGCGACCGUUGUCGGUGCCGUAGGGAAGCCGUGAAGCGAGCCACCUGGGAAGUACGGCCGCAAGGCUGAAACUUAAAGGAAUUGGCGGGGGAGCACCACAACGGGUGGAGCUUGCGGUUUAAUCGGACUCAACGCCGGGAAUCUCACCGGAUAAGACAGCUGAAUGAUAGUCGGGAUGAAGACUCUACUUGACUAGCUGAGAGGAGGUGCAUGGCGUGUGACUGU
rnacentral:rRNA from 1 species